GUCUUAGUUUGAACGCUUGUUAUGGGCAUUUUACACACGUUCAUUACAUUUACAGGUGAUUAGAACGUUUGAAUAUUGUACUUUCAGACGCAUGAAUCGGUGCCACUGCCACAGACACGCCUGUGCAGUAACGGGUACUUUAAACAUUGUACUACCACAUUGUAGCCCCUCCCAUCUCAAUGUCUGCCUGUUGCGAUGAGUCGCUUACUCCGGGAGGGAGAUGUUUCUAAAAAUGGAUAAAUUUGUUAAAAUUAGUCAGUUAACGUUACAUUUACAGAAUGUAAAUGCCACAGCAAGGCGUUGGAGAGGAAGAAAUUAAAACGACUUUUUCCAUAUAGCUAGCCAGCGUCAGCUUUGUAGUUGUAAUGCUAUCUUAUUUUCAUUGAAAUAGCAUGGCUAGUUAGCAAUAGUCUUCUGUCUAGCCUGUAACUCAUAGUUGUUACGUUGUGGAACAGAGCAAUAGUUCUUUGUACUUGUCAUUUGGUUGAGACUAACAUUAGUUUAGAAAAUAAUUGUUUACUUUGUGUACAUUUGUUGUGUAAUUGGUUGGCUAUGCUAGUCAGCAAGCUGAGAUGUAUUUACUCAAGUUGGCCAUUAGCUAAUGUUUUAGGAGAACAGGCUAGAUUCCUGCAGGAUCUAGACAAUAGAGCAGCGUUUCUUAAAGUAUGGGUCGCGACGUAAAUGUAUAAUUAUUUCAUUAAUUACUGGAAUUGAUUGUGCAAGUGCGCUCUCUGCUUAGCAGCGGUCUCUGCUCAGUUUGGCAGCUGCGCGAGAGGGAGAUGCCGUGUGCUUCGCGGUUUUCUGCAUUUUUCCCCUGCAGUUUUCUUGAAGAUCAUUCCGGGGCCCACACGCUGGAGCGCUGUGGUUCAAGCCAAUGACUUGUUAUCCCCACUCGCCAUCCCUCACCGCUGUCAUGAAAUGGACUCCUGCUAACCACAAGUUCUGACUAAGCUCAGUCGUCAUGAAACGCAUAUACAGUGAUGACAUUAUUCACUUUCAUACACACUUUGAGAAAUAACGAGGAGCGCCACAAUGUGUUUUGUGUGGGUAAGUGCUUAGUAAUGAGCCUCUCAAAACGUACAAAUUAAUAAAACGACACGUCCUGACCAAACAUCCAGGCACAACAUGACGGUAAACCCAGGGAGUUAUUUCAGAACAUGGAAGAACGCUUCAGGAAACAGUGCUUCGAAAGUGGGAAAGCUGAAAAAGUUUAAGAACCCCUGCAAUAGAGAAUGGAGAAUAAGAUCUGGCUGUUGCAGUACCCAGAUGAGGGGAGAGGAAACUGCUACAGAGAUAAAAAGAUCCUUGGUCAAUAGAUCCCAGACCCAACCCCCCACCGGUCCGCCAUCGGCCCGCUGACGGACACCACCCCGACGAACCUCCGCACGCAGCGCAGAAACUCUGGACGCGUGCCGGGCCCUUCUCGCGGAUCUCCCCAGCUACGCCGCUCGCCGGCCCCACACAUUGUAGGUAAGGAGGUCUCCUCUACGCUCACUAGACUUGAGGCGGAGACUAAACCCAUUGGCCUCGCAGUGAUAGGGCAUUGCAUGGAUCUGGCUCAUGCCCUACGAAGUGGGGAGAAGUAUCUCCAGCUUGUCUGGGGAGGGAGGCCUACAUCUGAUGUGAGUAGUACCAUCCACGCCCAUUGAUUUGCUGCGGAACCAUAAAACGUACGGAAGAAGCCUAGGUUCUUCCACGGAUCACUGAAUGUCAACUUUAUGAAAUUCAAAGGAGCGUACCCACCUAUCGCGGUCGCACUCAAAUCACCCGUGGAGUGACUGUGACCCACUCAUGUCAAGGUGAGGAAUAUCAAUGAAGCGUUGGUCAAGGUGGUUCCUAUGGCUCUGUCCCGGAGGGCUGUAUGGGCAAGAAAAUGAUUGAAAGGGGAUGAUUCUUUUCUGUUGCUUCUCCCGACACCCAGUCGAUGGUGCCGCUAGAUACUGCGAUGGUUAUUUGGUUCUCAAGCCUAUAAGUAUUGCGCUGGCACUUGAUGUCGAUUUUGUGUAAAAACCCAGUUAAAGUCAACUGAAAGUUAGUAGCGGUAACUGAUGUCCAGUUUGUAAGACAGAAAAGCCUCUGAUACCACCGGCAUUACUUGAAUGGAUGUCAAUUUGGUGAUAUCUGACCAUAGCAUGCUACCCUUCGCGGUCACACUCAAACCACCUUCGGGGUGGCUGUGACCUCACAACAAAGUGAGGAAAUUCGAUGAAGCGGGGGUAAGCGGCAGGACAUAAUUAAGAGUCUCUUGAGGUAGCCAAAUGCCUCGUCAUCUAAUUAGUGACGUUCAUGAACGGAUGAGCAAGAUUCCCACUGUCCCUACCUACUAUCUAGCGAAACCACAGCCAAGGGAACGGACUUGACUGAAUCAGCAGGGAAAGAAGACCCUGUUGAGCUUAACUCUAGUCUGGCACUGUGAAGAGACAUGAGAGAUGUAGUGGGAGGCCUUGACCGCUGGUGAAAUACCACUACUCUUAUCGUUUUUUCACUUACCAUUGUGAAGCAGAAUUCACCAAGCGUUGGAUUGUUCACCCACUAAUAAGGAACGUGAGCUGGGUUUAGACCGUCGUGAGACAGGUUAGUUUUACCCUACUGAUGAUGUGUUGUUGCAAUUACCAGGUGCAUGUGGUUCCUGACAGUGGGACUAUAGACGUUUUAGUAAUUCCAGGGAGAGGGGUGUGAGCUAUACUCUAAGGCCGGGAGAGGGGUGUUGACCGGGUAGGGAGAGUAGGUGUGGAGGUCUGUAGUUUCAGGGAGUAAACUAUACACUCUCAGACACAGGGAGAGGGCAGGAAGGCGGGCAGGGAGUCCUAGAGGCCAGGAGUCAGAGGUCACCAGGUCAAUGGGGGCCUGCCUGGAGGUCAGGAAGGCCCCAGGGAGAAGGCCUGAGUGAAUAGGUGUGUGAGUGACACUGUCCUUCAAGGGGGCAGAGCAGGCAAAUUAAUGUAAAAUCGUGUGAGAUGAAAAUGGACAAACUAAAUGGUGUGCAAUGUGUAGGCCCACUGAGUGUACAUUCUGAACAUUGUUUGAAGUCAGUAGGUCACAUGACUAAGAAGCUAUUGAAUGUAAAAAAAGUUUGUACUUUGUUUACACUCUCUAACUAAUACAAAAUGCUGCUCACAUUUCCACAUGUUUAUUAGCUUUGCAAAGCGAACUAAUGUCCAAAUCGUAAAAAUAACACCUGUGCAAUGUUGUGCACAAUUUUUCCAACAUCAUGACACUUAUUUGGAGUCUGUGGCUCAAGUGGUUUGAAAGCACGAAUAUCCGUUGAAUAUCCAACCUGAAACUGUCUUUACCUCGGUUACCUGAUAAAGUUGUUAGUUCUAGUUAUUGUUUUUCUUAUGCAAUGUCCAGGAAAUGUCAAAUACUCAAGCAUCUGCAGACCAGUGAGGAGGAGGAGGAAAGCCUAUAGAACAAGAAUUACUAGGUAUUGCUAAAUAAGCUGCUUUUCCGGAAAAUGCCUAUCUGAUAAAGCUACACUUUUAGCACCUUUUUUUCUAUUUAGAACUUGAAAAGUUAGUCAGCUGUAGGAUAACUUUUUGAAGAACCCUUGUUGGUUCCAGGUAGAACCUUUUUAGUUCCAAGUAGAACCAUUUUGGGUUCCAUAUAGAACCCUCUGUGGAAAGGGGGUUCUACAUGAAACCCAAAUGGGUUCUACCUGGAACCAAAAAGGGUUAUACUACGGGGACAGCUGAAGAACCCUUUUUUCUAAGAGUGUAUCUAGUUCUAAUGCAAUGUCCAUGUUACAGCCACAACAUGAUGAUCAUGUAGUCAAGCAUAUGAAGACUAGCGAGGAGGAGAAAUGCCUGCUUUGGAUGAGCAAGGAAGAACAAUAACAACUAGCUAUAUCAGAUAAACAUGUUCAGGGAAAGCAGGGAGAGAGCAAGCUGGUAGUAGUAACAUUAUUAUUUGAAACCUCACAUACGCAUGUAUCUGUGUUAUAAUUAAGCAAUAAGGCACCUCGGGGUUUGUGGUAUAUGGACAAUAUACCACGGCUUAGGGCUGUUCUUCUGCACGACGCAACGUAGAGUGCCUGGAUACAGCCCAUAGCCGUGGUAUAUUGGCCAUAUACCACAAACCCCCGAGGUGCCUUCUUGCUAUUAAAAACUGGUUGCCAACAUAAUUACAACAGUGAACAAGUAAUAUUGACUCAUAUCCGUGAUAUACGGUCUGAUAUAUACCAUGGCUUGCUAUCUGUCUCAUGUUGUACCGAUCAUCAAUAUGAACAAGACUGAAUUCCGUUGAAUUGUCAACUGGUCUAAAUUCUUGUUAGGAAGAUGUUGCUGUUCAGAAUGACAUGUUUAUGACUGUUGAUGUUCACAUAUGUUGAAUGAGCAUCACCACACCUUCACAAAGUCAUACAAUGUUUGCUUCAUGAACAAUUGUUACAUCUGAAAUAAAUACAGAAUUAUUUUUAGUUUAUUCUGUUUCUAAUGUUUUUUAUGCUGGAUGUGAGUAAUUUAGCAGGUCUAUAGUAUAAUGUAUUGUUUUGAAAUGUUUAUUAAAUAUCUAUUCAGUCAACUCA